rnacentral:rRNA from 1 species
CAGAGGGUGCGAGCGUUGUUCGGAAUUACUGGGCGUAAAGCGCGCGCAAGCGGCUCUGUAAGUCAGAAGUGAAAUGUCACUGCUCAACGGUGGCGCUGCUUCUGAUACUGCGGAGCUAGGGAUCGGUAGAGGCUGGUAGAAUUGCAGGUGUAGCGGUGGAAUGCGUAGAGAUCUGCAAGAAUACCCGUGGCGAAGGCGGCCAGCUGGGCCGUAUCCGACGCUGAGGCGCGAAAGCGUGGGGAGCAAACAGGAUUAGAUACCCUGGUAGUCCACGCCGUAAACGAUGGGCACUAGGUGCUGGGGGGAGCGACCCCUUCAGUGCCGCAGCUAACGCGUUAAGUUGACCGCCUGGGGAGUACGGCCGCAAGGUUA